CGGGGCGUGGCGCAGUUUGGUAGCGUGCUUGGUUCGGGACCAAGAGGCCGAGUGUUCGAAUCACUUCGCCCCGACCA
rnacentral:tRNA from 1 species